AUUGCUGAUGUUAUUGGUGGGAAAGACAAAAAAGGCAGAAAGAUCCCAGAAUAUCUAAUACAUUUUAAUAGUUGGAACGGAAGCUGUGAUAGAUGGGCAGCCAAAGAUCACGUACACUGUAAUACAGGUGCAAAUCAAGGAUGACAGCAUGAAUUGGCAAGAAAAGCUGCAGCUCACCUGAGAAGCACAGGAAGAAGGAAGUGCUGCAGGCUGUCUGGCAUCAAAUCUGUCUAAAAAAGCCCCCCAGUUGAAGACAAAGAUGAAAAUGCUGAAAAUUCAAUAAGCAGUUCUCCAACAGUAGUGAAGACAAGGAUGAAAAAUAAGUGAAGGAAGUGUUAUUGAAGAAGAGACUUAAGUGCAAGAACUGGAGCUGUAAACAGAAAGGGAAAUGGAAGAAAGAAUAUUAACUAUAGAAAUCCCCGAAGUUCUGAACAAGCAGCUUGAGAGUGAUCGUUACUACAUUAACAGAAGGAAACAGUUAAUGAGACUUCCACGACAGACCAACAUCAUAAUGAUUUUGGAGUCCUACGAGAAGCAUUUUGCUAUCAACACAGCUUUUUCAGCCAGUGAGAGGCCUUGCCACCACCACACUAUGCGGCACACCAACAUGAAGGUGCAUUAUAAUAAUUCCCAGCAGAAAAGAAUGCUGACCUUUGUAAGGAGAUGGUGGAUGGGUUAAGAAUAACCUUUGAUUACACUACCGCAUCAGUUAUAAUCUAUCCAUGGGAAUAAGCUCAGUAUAAAAAGGUGACUUCAGCUAAGUGUUUUCUUUCAAUUACGGAAAGCACCACAGACAAUAAAAUGAGCCAGGGGGAGCUCUCUCCCAGCCCACCUUUGUUGAAUCCAUCCACACCACAGUCCACAGAGAGUCAGACAACCACAGCUGAACCAGCCACCCACAAAAGGCACAAAGCCAAGCCGGAAGCAUUGCAGGCUCUGAGGCGGUCCGCGUGCCACACCACCAACUGCAACAGGCUGGCUGAGAGCAGGCGUCACCUCGCCCAAGUGCCAGCAGCAGGCCACAUCUACUAGCAUGCCCCAGGCUGCUCCUGAACCUGGAGAACAAAACACCUGUGCAUCAUCUUCAACUAUUCCUCAGCCUCCUAGCAAGGAAGAAAGUGCUGCAUUUACUGGCUUUGAAGGGAAAAGAACUAAUUAAAUAAAUGAGGUCCUCUCGUGGAAGCUUGUGCCUGAUAAUUACCACCCAGGUGACCAGACACCUCCACCCCCUUCACAUUUAUGGGGCACAACAUUUGCUGUGACUUUUGGUAAAACUUCCAGAAAUCCUUGGAAACAUGUCCUAGUCUGAGAAGAAUCUGAAGGCUUUAUUGAAACACUUUGAUCUUUUCUGAAGUUUUUAGCAGAAUAUAUACCAUGAUGAUUUCUUCCCAGAGUUGGCUUAUGUUGCUGCCUAUGAGGCAUACUAUAGCACCUAGAAACCCCCGGCAAUUUAUUAA
rnacentral:lncRNA from 1 species